rnacentral:lncRNA from 1 species
AGACAAUAUAUGUAACCUAAACAUUUGUACCCCUACAAUAAUCUGAAAUAAAAAAUAGGAUGGUGCACAUAAGUUAAAAAAAUAAAAUCCCCACUAGUUAAUUUUUUACUGCCAUGUACUUGCCAAACCUUCGUUAUCUUUGCAAAUACCUUGCAAAGUGUGGUUUAAAUGAGCCUGGAGUUUUAAAUUUUUUCCUACAUAUUUUCUGGGUUUAAUUGGCAUUCGGUAAAGUCCUUCACUAUUUAAGAGUGGUUUGGUUCUGGGAUGUAUGUUACCUCCUUCCAAAUCCAGGGAUAUAAAACUGUCUUUAAAUAUAUUUAAAUAAAAUUUAAAUGCUUUAAAAAUUGCAGCCCAAAGUGUAUGUUUUUAAGAGCUGUGUAAGUAAUUUAAGAGGCUUACUGUGGCUUUGUCUUCAACAGAUGCUUGAGAACAAUCUCAAAGGGAACACAUCCACCAGUGAAGCCGUGGCUGAUGAAAUUAUUUAAAAAAAAAAAGCUUUCUGAAAAUGGUGGAGAAAAGCUGGCCACAGGUAUGGAAACCCUCCAGGUUAAUCGGGAAAGCACAAGAGGACAGAGACGACCUACAGAGAAGCGGCUGAGACCAGACAGGUGCUGAACUCUCUGCAGUGGGGGAAAUUCUCCAUGCAUCUCUGCACUUCCGCACAUCUUGUAAACAAGACACACUGACAGCUUUCAUUCCAGGCUGUCUUUUCUUCCAGACUAUCCAGGUGCCGGCAUCCUGAACACAGACUGUCUCUCCCCAGGACAGAAGGUAUGUGUGUUGCUGACCAUAUAACAAGGAUAAUGCCUCCUCCUGAUGCAGAGAUUGGGCAGC